AGCACAGACAAGAUCCUGCAGCUGGGAGAGGAGCCCCAGGCCCGGGAUACCCAGGUGUUCACUCAGUGAUCAGGACAGAAUACAGACAACUCACCAUGGAAUUUGUGCUGGGCUGGGUUUUCCUUCUUGCUCUUUUAAAAGGUGUCCAGUGUGAGGUGCAGCUGGUGGAGUCUGGGGGAGACCUGGUGAAGCCUGGGGGGUCUCUGAGACUCUCCUGUGCAGCCUCUGGAUUCACCUUCAGCAACUACGACAUGUACUGGGUCCGCCAGGCUCCAGGGAAGGGGCUGCAGUGGGUCGCAUGGAUUAAUACUGGUGGAAGUAGCACAAGCUACGCAGACUCUGUGAAGGGCCGAUUCACCAUCUCCAGAGACAACGGCAAGAACACGCUGUAUCUGCAGAUGAACAGCCUGAGAGCCGAGGACACGGCCGUGUAUUACUGUGUCCAGUGUGAGGUGCAGCUGGUGGAGUCUGGGGGAGACCUGGUGAAGCCUGGGGGUUCCCUGAGACUCUCCUGUGCAACCUCUGGAUUCACCUUCAGCAACUAUCACAUGGACUGGGUCCGCCAGGCUCCAGGGAAGGGGCUGCAGUGGGUCGCACAUAUUAGCAAUACUGGUAGUAGCACAUACUACGCAGACUCUGUGAAGGGCCGAUUCACCAUCUCCAGAGACAACGGCAAGAACACGCUGUAUCUGCAGAUGAACAGCCUGAGAGUCGAGGACACAGCCGUGUAUUACUGUGCAACAGACACAGUGAGGGGCCCUCAACCGUAACAAAGGGAUUUG